GAGAUACUUGAAUGGCUUAAACGCCGUUGAAUAAAUAUUUUUAAAUUCCUAUAUUUUUAUACAACUGACCUUGCAAAUAAGUAAUUGUUGAGAAAUCAAGGUGAAAUCUUUUCGCAACGAAAACAAUGAGAAAAUAAUAAGGGUUUUUAUUUUUAUAAGUGACUCAUUGAAAAGAUGAAAGAAUGACGAUAGCAUAAUCGUAUAUAAAGAAACAUUUCCCGCAGUUUAGAAAACUUCUAAAAUAAAAAUGACAAAUUUAAAACUACCUUUGCAAGGAUUGGCUGAAUCCUGCGCUGCUCUCCAAGGACGAUCAUUGAACAAAGGUAAACAUUUUUCGCAAUCCAUACCAGCAGUAUUGUGGUCGCACUCGCAAUAAAGUUUACCUU